UACGGGGGGGGCAAGCGUUGUUCGGAAUUACUGGGCGUAAAGGGCUCGUAGGCGGCCAACUAAGUCGGAUGUGAAAUCCCCAGGCUUAACCUGGGAACUGCAUCCGAUACUGGAUGGCUUGAAUCCGGGAGAGGGAUGCAGAAUUCCAGGUGUAGCGGUGAAAUACGUAGAGAUUGGGAAGAACACCAGUGGCGAAGGCGGCUAUCUGGACGGUUUCUGACGCUAAGACGCGAAAGCGUGGGGAGCAAACAGG
rnacentral:rRNA from 1 species